rnacentral:misc_RNA from 1 species
GCAAAACAAAACAAAACCCAUUUCAUAUUCAUAAUCCUCCGAAGUCUAUCAUGUACUUCCAAUUUACACAUAUUACAAACGACUACCAAUAACUUCCAAAAAUAAAAAUCUAGCCUAGCUGAGGAAAGGAAACAAGACCACUUGUCACUGUUAUGGACCUGGCUCCACUCAAUCAUUUUCCUCUUUUUUUCUUACAUAAAAUUUUAUUUUAUGGCUUUAUACUAUUUCUUUGCAUUGGAGAAUACAGGCAAUGAAAA